UACGUAGGCAGCAAGCGUUGUUCGGAAUUACUGGGCGUAAAGCGUGCGCAGGCGGUCUGUUAAGACCGAUGUGAAAUCCCCGGGCUUAACCUGGGAACUGCAUUGGUGACUGGCAGGCUUUGAGUGUGGCAGAGGGAGGUAGAAUUCCACGUGUAGCAGUGAAAUGCGUAGAGAUGUGGAGGAAUACCGAUGGCGAAGGCAGCCUCCUGGGCCAACACUGACGCUCAUGCACGAAAGCGUGGGGAGCAAACAGG
rnacentral:rRNA from 1 species